CUAGAUGGUUGUAUGGCUGCCUUUUUAAGGAGGAAAGUCCGGACUCAUCAGAACACCAAAGCCGGAUAAUUCCCGGCGGGGGUAACCCUAGGGAAAGUGCAACAGAAAAUAAACCGCCAUUUUUGGUAAGGGUGAAAAGGUAGGGUAAGAGCCUACCGCUUUUUUGGUAACAAAAAAGGCAUUGUAAACCCCUUUGGGAGCAAGUCCAAGAAACUAUGUCUUAUGACAGGUGAUGUUCUGCACCAAGUAUGGUAGGACGCUAAAGGUAGUUGGUAACAAUUAUCUAAGAUUAAUAGCCAUAACCUUUAUAGGUACAGAAUCCGGCUUAUAGACCAUCUAGUUUU
rnacentral:RNase_P_RNA from 1 species